rnacentral:rRNA from 1 species
GUUGAUAAGGUUAAGUGAAUAAGGGCGCACGGUGGAUGCCUUGGCACUAGGAGCCGAUGAAGGACGGGACUAACACCGAUAUGCUUUGGGGAGCUGUAAGUAAGCUAUGAUCCAGAGAUUUCCGAAUGGGGGAACCCAAUAUCUUUUAUAGGAUAUUACUUUUCAGUGAAUACAUAGCUGAUUAGAGGUAGACGCAGAGAACUGAAACAUCUUAGUACCUGCAGGAAGAGAAAGAAAAUUCGAUUCCCUGAGUAGCGGCGAGCGAAACGGGAAGAGCCCAAACCAACAAGCUUGCUUGUUGGGGUUGUAGGACUCCGAUAUGGUAGUCUGUUAGUAUAGUUGAAGGAUUUGGAAAAUUCCGCUAAAGAGGGUGAAAGCCCCGUAGACGAAAUGCUAACAACACCUAGGAGGAUCCUGAGUACGGCGGAACACGAGAAAUUCCGUCGGAAUCCGCGGGGACCAUCCCGCAAGGCUAAAUACUCCCUAGUGACCGAUAGUGAACCAGUACCGUGAGGGAAAGGUGAAAAGCACCCCGGAAGGGGAGUGAAAUAGAUCCUGAAACCGUGUGCCUACAACAAGUCAAAGCUCGUUAAUGAGUGAUGGCGUGCCUUUUGUAGAAUGAACCGGCGAGUUACGAUUGCAUGCGAGGUUAAGUCGAAGAGACGGAGCCGCAGCGAAAGCGAGUCUGAAUAGGGCGAAUGAGUAUGUAGUCGUAGACCCGAAACCAUGUGAUCUACCCAUGUCCAGGUUGAAGGUGCGGUAAAACGCACUGGAGGACCGAACCCACGUACGUUGAAAAGUGCGGGGAUGAGGUGUGGGUAGCGGAGAAAUUCCAAACGAACUUGGAGAUAGCUGGUUCUCUCCGAAAUAGCUUUAGGGCUAGCCUCGGAAUUGAGAAUGAUGGAGGUAGAGCACUGUUUGGACUAGGGGCCCAUCUCGGGUUACCGAAUUCAGAUAAACUCCGAAUGCCAUUCAUUUAUAUCCGGGAGUCAGACUGCGAGUGAUAAGAUCCGUAGUCGAAAGGGAAACAGCCCAGACCACCAGCUAAGGUCCCAAAAUAUAUGUUAAGUGGAAAAGGAUGUGGGGUUGCACAGACAACUAGGAUGUUGGCUUAGAAGCAGCCACCAUUUAAAGAGUGCGUAAUAGCUCACUAGUCGAGUGACCCUGCGCCGAAAAUGUACCGGGGCUAAACAUAUUACCGAAGCUGUGGACUACACCAUUAGGUGUAGUGGUAGGAGAGCGUUCUAAGGGCGUUGAAGGUCGAUCGUGAGGACGGCUGGAGCGCUUAGAAGUGAGAAUGCCGGUAUGAGUAGCGAAAGACAGGUGAGAAUCCUGUCCACCGUAUGACUAAGGUUUCCUGGGGAAGGCUCGUCCGCCCAGGGUUAGUCGGGACCUAAGCCGAGGCCGAUAGGCGUAGGCGAUGGACAACAGGUUGAUAUUCCUGUACCAGUUGUUUUUGUUUGAGCAAUGGAGGGACGCAGUAGGCUAAGGAAUGCAUGCGAUUGGAAGUGCAUGUCCAAGCAAUGAGUCUUGAG